rnacentral:sRNA from 1 species
GCCAGGCACGGUGUCGCACGCCUGUAAUCCCAGCAGCUUGGGAGGCUGAGACAGGAGGAUCGUGAGUUCAAAGCCAGCCUCAGCAACUGUGAGGCACUAAGGAACUCAGUAAGACCCUGUCUCUA